UUGAUCUCAAAUCAGGCAGGACUACCCGCUGAACUUAA
rnacentral:rRNA from 2 species